CGGGUCGCUCCAGCAGUGAGGAAUAUUGCACAAUGGGGGGAACCCUGAUGCAGCGACGCCGCGUGGAGGAUGACGCAUUUCGGUGUGUAAACUCCUUUUAUAUGUCAAGAAAAUGACGGUAGCAUAUGAAUAAGCACCGGCUAACUCCGUGCCAGCAGCCGCGGUAAUACGGAGGGUGCAAGCGUUACUCGGAAUCACUGGGCGUAAAGGACGCGUAGGCGGGUUGGAAAGUCAGGUGUGGAAUCCUACAGCUUAACUGUAGAACUGCACUUGAAACUUCUAAUCUAGAGUAUGGGAGGGGGAGAUGGAAUUAGUGGUGUAGGGGUAAAAUCCGUAGAUAUCACUAGGAAUACCUAAAGCGAAGGCGAUCUCCUGGAACAUUACUGACGCUAAGGCGUGAAAGCGUGGGGAGCAAACAGGAUUAGAUACCCGAGUAGUC
rnacentral:rRNA from 1 species